UACAGAGGUCUCAAGCGUUGUUCGGAUUCAUUGGGCGUAAAAGGUGCGUAGGCGGCGCGGUAAGUCGGGUGUGAAAUCUCGGAGCUUAACUCCGAAACUGCAUUCGAUACUGCCGUGCUUGAGGACUGGAGAGGAGACUGGAAUUUACGGUGUAGCAGUGAAAUGCGUAGAGAUCAUGAGGAAGACCAGUGGCGAAGGCGGGUCUCUGGACAGUUCCUGACACUGAGGCACGAAGGCCAGGGGAGCAAACGGG
rnacentral:rRNA from 1 species